rnacentral:miRNA from 1 species
AUUUACAUCCAACGGUGAGUAACC